UCAGCUUCAAAGUAGAGAGCACAAAGCUUAUCUCAACCUUGGAAUAGUUACCUUCGUCUCUCCACCACCCACCCCGUCCGUACGAGGAAGAGGACCCUCUUCUCUUCCCGUCCCGACCCGGAGCCCUCCGCCGCCGCCGCCGCUCGCCUCCUCGUCGCGUCCCUGCCCCCGUCCGCAAUCUCCGGAACCCCGGUCUUCGAGAUUACAUCAUGCUUUCCCUGAGGUGUUGGGCGCCCGCAUUCGGGUUAGCGUUCGAGAGAGCCGUCGUUCUGCGCCCUCGAAAGUUCAACUCUUUGGUGGUUUGCGGUGCCAGGGGUCCGAGGCCGAGAUAUCCUCGCGUGUGGAAAACUGACAAGAGAAUCGGGACCGUUUCCAAGUCGCAGAAGCUUGUCAAAUGUAUUAAGGGUUUGUCUAAUGUAAAGGAGGAAGUCUAUGGUGCCCUUGAUUCAUUUGUUGCAUGGGAACUGGAGUUUCCCUUGAUAGCGGUAAAGAAAGCACUGAAGACGCUUGAAGAUGAGAAGGAAUGGAAAAGAAUAAUUCAGGUUAUCAAGUGGAUGUUCAAUAAAGGUCAAGGGAAGACCAUGGGAAGCUAUCAAACUUUAUUAAAUGCUUUAGUCGAGGAUGGGCGAAUUGAGGAAGCAGAAGAGCUAUUUCAAAAGAUAUUCUCAAGAUAUAUGGAGGGUUUGCCCCGUAUUUUUUUCAUGAAAAUGAUCUCCUUGUAUUACAGAUUGGGGUCAUACGAGAAGAUGUUUGAGGUUUUUGCUGAUAUGGAAGAGCUGGGUGUUCGACCUGAUACCUCGAUUGUCAGGAUGCUCGGUGAUGUAUUUAUGAAGCUAGAGAUGUUGGACAAAUAUGAAAAGUUAAAUAGGAAAUAUCCACCGCCAAAAUUUGAAUACCGAUACAUCAAAGGCAAGCGCAUAAGGAUAAGGGUUUAUCCAGACGAUAGUACUGAAGAGGUAACACAGAGAGACUCUGGUAGAGAUGAACUGGAAGAUGCAGGAAGCAUGAAUCCUGACAAUGAAUUAGAAGAAGUGCCAGGAACAGGCCUGGACAUGAAUGUAUUAGGCGAUGCGGCUUCUGGAGACCUUGAAUUUGUAUAGCUCAGAACUUGAAUGUGGCGUUUUCGUGUCUGCUUCAUCAUAGCAGUUGUGCUGCAACUCUUUUCUAUAAUCUAGCAAUAUUAGGCCACUCUUGCCAUAUUUGGAAACAAAAGCUGUCCAACAAUUUGGCUGAAGAUGUUCAGCUGUUCAGUAAAUGAUAUGGAUACAGUCCUUGAUGUCUUUGUUGUGUUGUAUUCAUCAAGGAUUGUGCAUUGGUGCGGGAGAGAAGCAGCUCAUUCUGGAUACAUUGCAAGUUUUCACCAUGUCCUGAGACGGAUGGACUUAAAAUCCUGACUACGGUCACACGAGAUGCUUUGGGUAAUGUUCAACUGUUUCAGGAAACAUGUACAAGUAUUAUUUGUAGCACUAGCAUUAGACAGUAGUACGUAUCUGAAAUGGAAUGGUUGUACUAGAAAACCUUAGAUGUUAGUAAUAUCGAUCGGGUGUUGUAGAUGAA